rnacentral:lncRNA from 10 species
AGGCCUAGGCAGGCGGAUCACUUGAGGUCGGGAGUUCGAGACCAGCUUGGCCAACAUGGUGAAACCCUGUCUCUACUAAAAACACAAAAAAUUAGCCAGGCAUGGUGGCGGGUGCCUGUAAUCCCAGCUACUCGGGAGGCUGAGGCAGGAGAAUCGCAUGAACCCAGAAGACAGAGGUUGCAGUGAGCGGAGAUUAUGCCACUGCACUCCAGCAUGGGUGACAGAGUGAGACUCUUUGUCUCACACACACAAAACAAAGAAUAUAUAGGGACCAAGAAAGAGAGAUGUGAAUCAAGAUUGUAUACAAAAGAGAUGUUAACUAUGUUAACUAUAUGAAUGUUUAUAAAUUUAAAAAAAAAUCUAAAUGUUUUAACCUUAGGGGAAUGGUUUGCUUUGUGGAAAGGUUAUGGAGUCAUUAAAAAAGUAUGUUUUUGAGAAUACUUGACGUGGGAAAGUGCACACAAAAUAAAAUUAAAUGUGGGAAAAAAUAGGAUAUAGAACUAUAAACAGCAUGAGUCCAGUUAUUUUAAAAUAUAUAUGUGAAAAAGUGGAAGAAAUAUGCUGAAGUGUUAUUAGUUAACUCUGUGUUGUAGGAUUAUGGGUGAUUAAAACUUUUUUUUUAAUUUUCCCAAGCUUUCCACAAUGAUUUUACUAUUUCUGAUUCAGGGAAAAAAAGAUUAAACAAGUUUUUUUUUUUUUUGUAGUGUGGUUGUGUUGUGUUUGGUUUUUCUUAUAAACAUAUGAAAGAAAAAUUGAGCUGAAAAGCAAGAAAUUCAUGGUAAGAUCUGUUGGACUCUAGUACCUUUGAAGGUAAGGCAUUCACCCUUUCUUAGAGAAUAAUCAAAUUAAUUACUAAUAAGGCUGGGUGAGGUGGCUCAAGCCUCGGCCUUCCAAGAAGUGCAGGGAUUACAGGUGUGAGCCACCGCACCUGGCCCCAUUUUGUGUUGGAUAAGCAAUAAUUUUAAAGUUUACCCCAUUUGGUUUUAUUGUUGUUUUUAUUUAACAAGACGUCUACACAUAUAUCUAUUAAAUAUUUAUUUACUGAUCAUUCUUUCUGUUGUCGGGGAGAGUAACAGAUCUUCAGUUCAAGGAGGUUGGCGUUCAGACAUCAGGAAGAAAUUGCAAAAUAAAGUGUUUUGGAUCCUCUGUGAGAUUUUUGUCUUUUGUUCCUCCAUUUGUUCUGUGACAUCACCUAGAACAUGACCUGACAGGUCAGUAGGAGCUCAGUCUUCAUUGAAUAAAAGUAUGAGUUUCUGAAUGAGAGAAUCCUGGAAUAGAUGAAGUCUGUCGCCUUUCAGUCUUCAGAUUCUUGGGAUUCCUCAAGCCAUGUAGAGGAAAGAAACUUUCCUAUUGUUAGUUUUCAUUUGCAUCUUACCAACUUUGUGACUUAGGACAAGUCAUUUAUUCUUAAUCUGAGUUCUCGUGUCUAUAAAAUGGGCUUAAAUACCUAUUUUGCUUGCCACAGUCUUUUUAUUUUUAUUUUUUGAGAACUAAAUACCAUAACGCUAAAGUUGGUAACCUUUGAGUUUGCUGGAAGAAUGAAAGAGAACAAUUAGGUAAUUAAAAUGUUCAGGUAAGCGAGCAUGUGAGGGUGCUGCAAAGGCGGCGUGAUGAAAUUUUGGAUCAGUGGAGUGGCACAUGCUAUUGAUUUGUUAUCUCUUGGUCUUUGUACAACUUGUAAUUUGCCCCCAGGUAGCAGAUAGUUUGAAGGUCUUAUCAGAAAGUGUCUCAUACACCUAAAUGUUAACACCAGGUCAUAGGCCAAAUAGCAGUUGUCCACAUUUGUGGAGGCCUCCGUUACUCUUUUUCUCAUCAUGACACAUGGCCUAGGUUUGAGUCCCAGUCCCACCUCUUACCUGCUCUGCACCCUCCGACAAGGCCCUUUAAACUCUUGGUGCCUUAGGCACGUCGUCUUAAAAAGGAGAAU